GUCUCAGUUCGGAUCGCAGGCUGCAACCCGCCUGCGUGAAGCCGGAAUUGCUAGUAAUCGCGGAUCAGCAUGCCGCGGUGAAUACGUUCCCGGGCCUUGUACACACCGCCCGUCACACCAUGAGAGCCGGGGGACCCGAAGUCGGUAGUUUAACCGCAAGGAGGACGCCGCCGAAGGUAAAACUGGUGAUUGGGGUGAAGUCGUAACAAGGUAUC
rnacentral:rRNA from 1 species